UAGUCCACGCCGUAAACGAUGUUCACUCGCUGUCUGCGAUACAUAGUAGGCGGCUGAGCGAAAGCAUUAAGUGAACCACCUGGGGAGUACGAUCGCAAGGUUGAAACUCAAAGGAAUUGACGGGGGGCCCGCACAAGCGGAGGAACAUGUGGUUUAAUUCGAUGAUACGCGAGGAACCUUACCUGGGCUUAAAUGUAGAUUGCAUAACUUAGAAAUAGGUUUUCCCUUUGGGGCUAUUUACAAGGUGCUGCAUGGUUGUCGUCAGCUCGUGCCGUGAGGUGUCGGGUUAAGUCCCAUAACGAGCGCAACCCUUAUCGUUAGUUGCCAGCGGGUCAAGCCGGGGACUCUAGUGAGACUGCCACCGUAAGGUGAGAGGAAGGUGGGGAUGGACGUCAAAUCAGCACGGGCCCUUAUGUCCAGGGGCUACACACGUGUUACAAUGGUCGGGUACAAAGGGGCAGGCUACACAGCGAUGUGAUGCUAAUCCCAAAAGCCG
rnacentral:rRNA from 1 species